GGUGAUGGUACCAAUGCCUACCCGUGACUUUGAGAUGACGAUGAGAUUUAAUGUCAAGUACAGUGGCUCUCGCUCCAAUGCCAUUUGAGUGGCAAAUGAAUGUUUGCCUCUUUUGGAGUCCCCAGGGUUCUAAAUGUGCUUCACUGUCCUUUUGUGUGACAAUCUGACUGACUGUGGACCCAGGACUAGCAGGGUGGACACUGGGACAUCUUUGAGAGUUCACUGAUGAGGAUAGACUGUGUUAUUCCUUCAGACAUUGGAUCUGGGCCACAGGUUUAUUUACCAGGAGUGCCCUGUCCUCAAGUUCAUCGACGUGUCUUCUCAUCCUUGUCAAUGACAACAUCGUGGACUCUCCCUGAGGCCUGUCCUCAGCUCCCCCACACUGGAGUUUUCAGACCAAUCUUACAGAUCGUCAGAUGGACUGAACAAAGAGUAGCACCAAUUCUCUGCAAAGAUGGUGGCCAGCCAUUCCUUGUGGGCC